rnacentral:rRNA from 1 species
CUAAGUGGGCUUGAUUGUGGGAAAAACUACACAGUUAAGCGCACUUCAGCCAGAGGCGUCCUAGGAUGGGUGACCACCUGGGAAGUCCUGGUUACUGGGU